rnacentral:sRNA from 1 species
GAUCUCCAACCCUUGGAGGGACAGACUGUUAACAUCCUCAUUUGUAGAUGAGGAUGAGGCUAAGAGGAAUUAAGUAACUUGCUCAAGGUCAAACAGGUGACAGAGCCAGAAUUCCAAACCAGCCUAGUCUGGAAUAUUCCAGAUACCACACUCUUCACAGGUUCCCAACACUUGAACAUAAACACUCAAUAAUCUGUAUAAUACAUCAAGUGCCCACUUUUCUUAUUGUCAUCUUUGUAUUAAUUCAAAAUUGGCUUUUGUAUCCAGGGCUGGGAAGAAACGGUGGAUGCCGCCAUUUCCCACCUGUUGAAGACUUGCCUGUCGAAGAGUUCUAAGGAGCAGGCUAUGAACCUCAACAGCCAGCUGAACAUACCCAAAGACACAAGCCAACUGAAGAAACAUAUCACCUUGCUCUGCGAUAGAUUAGCCAAAGGUGGCCGUCUCUGCCUAAGUACCGAUGCAGCAGCCCCACAGACCAUGGUCAUGCCAGGUGGUUGUACUACAAUCCCAGAGUCAGACCUAGAAGAAAGAUCAGUAGAACAAGACUCUACAGAACUGUUUACCAACCACAGACAUCUCACUGCAGAGACACCCAGGCCUGAAGUUUCACCCCU